CUGAUACUUGUGAAAUUAUUUCCGAGCAACAAUAUUUUUUUGUAUAAAAGUUCCCCCCCCAAAAAAAAAACUAUUAGUAUUUUUAAAUAACAAUUAAGCAAAUUUCGACAAAAAUAUGUCUAAUGAUUUAAAAUCAAUGAAAUUGAUAAUAUUUGUAACAAUCAUUAGUUUGUUAUUUGAACAAUUUGUUGAGGCACAACGAUGCCUUGCACCUGAUAGUCCCUGUAAACAUGAUGGAUCAACAGGUUUCUGUUGUCCUGGAUAUUUUUGUUAUCAACAUGCAGGAUGGAUAACAGGAUAUUGUAUACUCGUAAGGAGUUAAACUAUUUCUAUUUGAUAUAUAAAAAAUAUUGUUGAUUUCGUAAAAAUAUAAAUUUUCUACAAUAUAAUAAUUAUUACUAAUUAUUAUUAUUUUAAUUUUGAAAAUUGGAAAAUAUAUAUCCUCAUUGUACUUCUAUUUUUCUUCGUUAUAAAUCACUUAAUAAACAAGGAAAACAAGUU